CAGGUAGAGUUUCAUCAGUCAAAUAUUGGAUGAUCGGAUCCAUCCAACUUGGCUCAUCAUUGAUUUGCAGUAUUUCUUCGACUUUAUCAACACUCAGUUGUUCAAGACAUUCGAUGAACGUCCGAUCGAGCGAGCUGAAUGAAGUAGUUGUGAGUCGAAAAAGUAUAUCAGCUCGAGUAUUUUCUGCUCUUGGAAUGUA
rnacentral:lncRNA from 1 species